GUUUGGGACAAUCGUGAAUGGUACUUCUCCACGGACUCGAGUUUAUCUUGUAUAAUGUCAUUUAUACAAGUGGCUUGGUCAGCUAGUUUAUCCUGAGCCCAGGCUCGAAGACAGACAGAAAGUAAUACCCGACUGGAAAUCCAUGUCGGUAGUGAGGAGAGCGUCAUUAAAACUCCUCUCCAUAAUGGGCCAAUAGGCAUCUCCAGCCUUGAUCUCACACAGACUGUACAGAUCACGCCAGGCUGCUGAGUAUGUUUUAUUAACCUGGGCAAUCCUCUGGAAGAAGGGCAUGGGCUGCUUCUCAGGGUCAGGGAGAGAGGUCACUAGGGUUGCAGCUUGGGAGGGAUUGAAAGUAACAUACAUCGGGGGAGCCCCUUUCACUGAUGAUAAGGCACGGAAUGGGCUGAGCCCCUGCACAUUGUCAUCCUCGGGGGGGACCGGAAAUGGGAGACCAUGAUAGCUGGCAACAUCUGGUGAAUUAGGGGCUUGAGCGGCUGGAGCAUCGGUGCCGACAGCGAUGGCCUGGGGAGUAACUAACUGGGAGACAGUGGGAUGGAAGCCUGAAGCUGCAGGAGAAACGUCUACAGCAUGAGGUUGUCCCGACAUGGUGGACUCAUUCGAGCCAACUACCAUAAUCGCAUGACUGGUUGCCGUCAUGAGGGAGGUGGAGACAGGAGUUGGAACGGGCGACGGGGAGGGCUGGCUAGGCUGAGGCAAAUGAGCGGAGAGGGCGGAAACGAGUGACGAAAGAUCAAAAGAGGGAGGGAUAACAGGGUUAGAGACAGGAAUGAGAUGGGAAUCAGGAAGAGGAGAGGGAGUGGCACUGAAGGCAGAGAGGGUGGAAAUAAGUGACGAGAGAUCAAAG